GAAAGGAAAAGAAAAGAAAAGAAAAAAAAAUGAUAAAUAAAUUAAAUCUUAAUUUAAAGACAAGUGGCUCAUUUGUAACCACUUACCCAAAUUAAUUAAAUAAGAAAAAGAAAAUAAUAAGAGGAAAAGAUCAUCUUCUUCCCAAAUAUCCCGUAUCCAUCCCCAAAAUUGCCCUAAAAUUCUUCUUCUCAAUUCUACUCCAAUUGCUUCCAAUUUUUCCACCCAACUUGCUAGCCUACCUCAUCCAAGUCCCUUCCCUAGUUGAAUAUUCAAAGUAGGAGGAAGAAUUAAAGAGAAAUUCAAGGUGGAGGGAGAGGAAAUAUUAAUUACAUAUUGGGAAUUUGAAAGGUAUGUUAGGGGUUUUUGUUGUAGGGUUAUUUCUUAUUAUUUUAUAUCAAUAUUUAUGUAGUUGAAUUAAAUUAAUAGAUUUAUAUGAUACGACAAUGUUUAAAAGUACAGUUGUAAAAUAAUAAAGUAUUAUAGUUUGAAUAAUUGACAGUUACACUGUAUUAACAGUUGUUGUCCCCCUGUUUAAAUGUAUAAAUUAUUGCAAGUCUGGCCCUAGUAAGUUUGGUGGGAAUUGUGGGUUAGUUUAAGGGUGUGGCAUGCCAUACAAAGAUCUUGCAGUACUGCACUACAGUUACACUGACUCUUGGGAUACAAUGAGGUAUCCUACAGUUAUAGAAUCGGCUUUUGAGCCAUACAGUUAUUUGGCACUUUGUGCCCUACAGUUACAGUUUCCUUAUCUGACUUAACAGUCCCAUUUAAAUUUAUAGGGGCCAACAGAAAAAUAAUAAAUAAAUAAAAGUAUUAAGAGGAAAUAAAAUCUUUUACAUGAUGAAAAAAAAGAAAAGAUUGUGAAAUGAAAAUAUGUAUAUAUGUAAAAUAAUAAUAUGAUUUAGCUGAUUUGAAAUUAUUUGUUAUAUAGUUAUUUGUUGUUUGUUUGUUUGAAUUACUGUUAUUACAUGAAUUUUGAUUUAAAUGUUUUAUUUAUAAAUAAAGUUGAGCACCACUAAGCAAAUUGCUUAGCGCGUAGGAAUUUGUUUUUCCUCGCGCAGGUUGUAGACCCAAGGAAUAGUAGAUCAAGAUCUGCAUCAACCCAGUCAGAGUUACAUCAUUGACUAUCUUGGGGUAUCUUUUGUAAAUUUCUAUAUGAAUUUGAUUUUGGAAAUAUGGCAUGUACAUAAAGUUUUGGAGAUGAAGUUGUAUAUGGUUAGUUAUAGAUAUAGUUGAAGAUUUUAAUUUUGGUAUAAAUGUGGAUGAUUAGUAUAAGUUUCUGUGUUGAGAUUAAUUAAAUGUUAUGAAGUGUUUGAUCUGAAUUGCAAUUGUAUCGAUGUUGAAAGAAGUUUGGGGGUUAAGGUUGAAAUUGAUAGAAGUGUGAUAUUACUUUUCACAGGUGGAAUUAAGUCCAUAUUGAAGGGGAAACUCUGCCGGAUUUUUGUAAAAAAAAANNN
rnacentral:lncRNA from 1 species